AGCUUUGCGCAGUGGCAGUAUCAUAGCCAAUGAGGUUUGUUCGAGACGUGAUUACUGCUAAUCAAGAGGGUCUUAAUAAAAGGGAUUCCCAUCGACAUAUCUAUAAAAUGUGGAGGUUGAGCCAAAGGCUCUUAUCAGCCAUAGUAAUCUCUGAUUCUCUUACACUUUUUCCCUGUGAAGA
rnacentral:snRNA from 1 species